GUUGGGUGCAGUGGUGAGCACCUGUAAUCCCAGUCACUAGGGAGAUUGAGGUGGGAGAAUGGCAAGUUUGAGGCCAGCCUUGGCAACUUUGUGAGACCCUGUCUUAA
rnacentral:sRNA from 1 species